UUAAGUUCAGCGGGUAUUCCUACCUGAUCCGAGGUCAACCUUCAGAAGUGGGGGGGUUUAACGGCGUGGCCACGCUGCGUUCCGGUGCGAGGUGUUGCUACUACGCAGAGGAGGCUACAGCGAGACCGCCACUAGAUUUCAGGGCCGGCGCGCCGCGAGGGGCGGGCCGAUCCCCAACACCAAGCCCGGGGGGCUUGAGG
rnacentral:misc_RNA from 1 species